GCACCCCCCCAUGUAACCAUUCAAAAAAUAUUUAUUGACUGAAUGAAUUUCUUCUCAGCCUGAGUGUCAGCUCUGACAAAUAACACAUUGUACUGGAAAGAGAGCCACGUGUCCUGCGUUCUCGGCCUUUCUCUGCCACCAGCUAUGGAAUUUUGUUAAACGACUGGGUUGACUUUGUGCUAUUUAAAGACUGACCGGUCCGGCUCCAUCACACCGCGAUCAUAGGAAAUUCAUACCAUGAGGCAGCCCCUGCCGGUGUGGGGCUCUGAAGACAUUAGAUUUUUUUCUUCUGGGGAAACAAAUUUAGCUUUUCUAAAAAAGAAAAAUUGGAACCAAAGUUGAAACCAGACAGUUUCUAUUCUUUCUACUGGUUUGAAGAUCUGCUUCCUUUGGAAACUUACUCUGAAGAGUGCCAGGCGUGGUCUGAGUGCUUUGAUCCUCCAGUGGGCAGGUAUCAUUAUUGUCUUCACUCUGCAGAGAAGAAAACAGGCGUUGGGAGUUCCACAAUUUGCCUAAAGCAAUGGAAACUGAAAUGCAGAAAAGAUAAGGAAUACAAAGCUUUCACCACUAAUGAAUGCAGAAUUGGGCUUGUGACUUAACAGCUAACAUAUAAACAUCAUAGUUCUUACUACUGGUGGUCACGAAGACAAGCACUGGAAGAGGCAUAUGUAAAACUGAGCAAAACCAGACAACACAAGGAGAGUGUAAACUAGAAAACAUGAAUCAGCUCUUAUUACGGGAAUCACAACAGGAACAGAAAAUGGCACAUUGAUCAUCUAUUCUUGAGACAAUGGCUAAACUGAGAGCCGAAGCACCACAAAAGCAACUUCCUUCUUCCUGCAGUUGGCUGCAUGUAUCUAUGAACAAAGUGAAGAAUAUGAGAAGGCAACCCAGAAAUGAAUUCAACAUCAAAGACCAGCCUCGCUGCUUAUUUAGAACCCACGUCAUGCAUGACUCAGGUAAGACCCAGCAAUAAGAACCUUCAUGGAGCCAGCCAAGAAAUACCAUGACUGAAAUGAAUUGUUGACUCCUAUAUCUCAUCAUUUGAUUUCUCUGUCACUGGGCCCUUUGUCACGUGUUUUGAAAAGCAAAACUGUAACUAUUCUUGUUACGACUUUCCAUGAAAAAUGAAGUGCUAUGUUCUUCUGGCACCAGUUAUGUGUCUGUCCCUUUUCUAUAAAGUGAAAAAGCCCGACCCCAAAAAGUGUUGAAGUUUAAAGAAAGUCUGUGGGGAACUAGAGGCUUCUGGCAUGGGAAAAUGAGCUGAACUCCCUUGGAGUAUUGACCAUGCUUCCUGGUUUGACCCUCAGUUUCGUAAAUCCAGAAACUCAAUUUGUAAUCCCCCAGAGUUCAUCAGGCUCAUGUUGACUUAACCAUGUAGGCUACUUCAUGCUGCAAUAUAAGCAGAAUGCUAGUUUAUUAAUUUGUAAAGAGAAAUACUGCUACAGGCUGAUUCCAGAGUCUAAUUAAUGGGAUAGCUUAGUGAUGUAUCCCCUCCCACAACAGGGAAAUUUCCUUCUAGAGAUAGGAUAGGGCAAGUCCAUGGAGGAGAGCACUCUGUUCUUUUUUCCUAGUAGAAUUAUUAAUCACUCUUCUUUCAUCCAAGUUUGAAUGCCUUAUUGCUGGUCACUUUGCUUUUCUUGAAACCAUGAUGCUAUUCCAUAAUGAGAACAUGUUUUUAAAGAGGUAGAAAAACCAAAAACUCCCCUCCCCCCAAAAUGGACAACAUGUCCCUAUGGGUUAGAGGCUCUAAAAGAAUUCACUGGAGGUAAGAAUAAAAGAAGGAAAGACGGCCUGAGUGAUCCCACCAAGUUUCUUUCUUAUCCUCUUAAAUAAUCACAUGUAGCCUUUCAAGAAAGCAGUUUGCUAUUAACAUCAAAGGAAAUUUCUCCUUGAAGCAAGAUGAGAUGAGUCAAGCAAGAUUGGAAACUGGUCCAAGAUAAAUAUUUUAAGGCAAUAUGAAAAUAUUUGGGACAUUGUGGUAGGAUAAAAGGGAAUUAAUGGACUGUUGCUGAACUAAAGGAAAAUCAGUAAUGGUAUUAAAGGAAAUAUCCUCAUGGAGUUGAUUCUAACGGUGGUGUGGUAGACGACCGAGCAUGGUCAGAGAGCAACUGUGUGUUACCAGGCUAUGAGACUAAAUAAUUUAAAGCAGUGAUCCCACCUAGAUGUGUGUGAGCGUUCACUGGCUGGCAGAAAAUAAAGCGCAUUUGUCUGAUCUCUGUUUGACUUACUCCAUGAGUUUCCACGAUCUGCGAUGACCUGAUCAUAGAAAGAAUGCAAGACCUCACUGCCUCCUAUCACCCCAUCCUGAAAAUUCCCUAGCUUCCCAUUGUCAUGAUGUCAGCCCCCAUUGUCUUCUUCAGCACAGAGCGAUCCAGACUUUGUUAUAGAAAUUGUAGUGCAUCACACAGAUUCUCCCUGUUCCUAUAGGAGUAUAGUCAUUCUGG